rnacentral:rRNA from 1 species
AGGGAAAGAGGGGGGUAGGAAUAACACAUGCAAGUCGAACGGCAGCACAGUAAGAGCUUGCUCUUACGGGUGGCGAGUGGCGGACGGGUGAGGAAUACAUCGGAAUCUACUUUUUCGUGGGGGAUAACGUAGGGAAACUUACGCUAAUACCGCAUACGACCUACGGGUGAAAGCAGGGGAUCUUCGGACCUUGCGCGAUUGAAUGAGCCGAUGUCGGAUUAGCUAGUUGGCAGGGUAAAGGCCCACCAAGGCGACGAUCCGUAGCUGGUCUGAGAGGAUGAUCAGCCACACUGGAACUGAGACACGGUCCAGACUCCUACGGGAGGCAGCAGUGGGGAAUAUUGGACAAUGGGCGCAAGCCUGAUCCAGCCAUACCGCGUGGGUGAAGAAGGCCUUCGGGUUGUAAAGCCCUUUUGUUGGGAAAGAAAAGCAGCAGGUUAAUACCCCGCUGUUCUGACGGUACCCAAAGAAUAAGCACCGGCUAACUUCGUG